GACCAUGGUCUCCUUUUUCUAGGGAGGAACACAGAAACCAUUCCUCUGGGUGUGCUUUUCUCUCCCUCCGUAAGAACCCUGAUGACCUGACACUGCAGGAGUUCCUGAAACUGGACAAGGAACGCAUGAGAAACAUGAUUAAAAAUCAAAUUUCUCAGAAAGUGACGGAGUUCAAGGAAGAAUCCAAGCGUGUGCGUCGUGAUAUUGAGAAGCUGGUCUCUUAGGUCUCUGACUUGCAUGUAUGCAGUGUGUCUGACUUGUACAUAUGUUCUCUAGAGCUGUCUGUGCCUGCGUGGUGGUGGUAGUUCUGAUCCCUUUCAUGGAAGGUUCAUGGAAGGAUCAAAGGAAUGUGUACUUAUAAACAAAGGGGGGGAUUUUUAUAAAUCACUUCAGGGAUUUAGGAUUGCAGCUACCAUUGACUUGGAAUGCUUCCGCUUGGCUUUCAAUGAGGUUUGUGUUCCUAAAUCUCUUAGAUCUCCUUUGAAACUCUCACAUUGACACGUCUAAAGGCAACUUAAUCCCCAAUGACUUACUGAACUGCUCAGAUUGAGUAUUGUAUGGUGAAAUGUAACACUCUCCUACAAGAAUAGUUAACAAUUCAUUUUUUUACUUUAAAAUGAGUUAAACAUAGUAAAUGCUGUUUUGGGGUACCACUGUGGAAGUGGUGAAUAAUCCAUUUAAGAUUUCCAACAUCCUCCUAAUCUAAAAGGCACAGUUACUGUCUUGGGCUCAAUCCUGUCGUUUUUACAAGUAUAAGAUACUUUUUGAUAUCAAGAUCACAAGUAGUCAGCCUCUUGCUUGAUUCUAAGCCCUUGGAGUCAGGGUGUGUGUUUUGUAUUUGAAGACUUAAAACAAAAAAAACACAUCCAGCACAUUGGAUAAGAAAGCUACAAUCAAGCUAGGGCCAGACUGAUAUUCUUGGGCUUGGUCAGUUUGUCCAGCAUUCCCUGCCCGAUCUUGCUAGCGAACAUUGAAAUUAUUUCCUCAUUCCCAGUCUUCAGUGCCAAGUCAUAUGCUGAUAGCCCUUUUUCAUUCUUCUUUUUAAUGUUUGCAUUGCAGCUGUAAAUAAAGAAUAAGUUUGUUCAACCUA